rnacentral:lncRNA from 1 species
UGUGUAUCCUCUGAGCAUUUCCUCUCUCUUGUUUGAAGCAGAGAGCCACAUGUCCAUACUGGGCUUCCUAGCUUUGGGUGGAGGACGAAACAGAAGCUCUUUGAAGAUAACUUCCUUCCUGAGUUUUUGAUAUCCAGAAACCUAAGCUCAAGAGGGUAUUAUGUUUUGGAGGUGAUUGAAUUUUACUCGCUCUCUGAGAGAGUCUGAGAUAAGGAUAAUUGAACCAGUAAUUAAAGAAAGAGAUAAAAGAUGGAGAUCAAGGAAGAGGAAAAACAAAGAUCAAGGAUGAAAUCUACAGAUAAAACAGGUGAAAAGUGAAGCCCCCUAAAGUAAUAAAGAGAGAGCAUCUUGGAGGGGAAGAGAUGCUAACAGAAACACCUCUGCCAUAAUAUAGCUCAUAUUCCAUGUCUCCCAAUUCUUGGAAUGUUUUAUUCCAUAAUAUUUUCCAAGGGCCCAGACCUGUGGUUGGAACAAUAGAUGCUCAGCAAAUGCUUAUUGAAGGAAUGACUCCAGUUCCAGGGUUAGUCCUGCCCCUCUCUGAUCACUUGGUCCCUCUGGGAUUGUCUCCUUGUUUGCCAAUGGGUGCUGGUGGGCAGGAGGAGAAAGUGAGGUUGUACUAGCUAAUCACUGGGGUCCUCUCGAUUGGGGAUGUUCUAUAGUUUCCAUAUUCAAGGGCCUGGUUAGUUAAGUGUCUUAAGCAGGGCUCUUCUUUAUUGUUUCCUAGAAUAAACCAACCCAUAUAUGAAAGAGAAACAGUGCUAUUCCUGAGUGCACAUCAGAGUAUGGGCAUGUUGAAUCAAAACAAAAGAUCUCUUUUUAAGUUUUGGCUCAGUCCUCUGUUCAUUUCCAGGUGCCCCUGGAACUCACACGCGCUGCAGGCUUCCUACUCCUAUUGGCAUCACUUAGCAAUGCUCGUUCACCCUGGCAGUUCUUGCCAGUAGCAGCUGGUGUUCCGGUUUGCAGUUUUUCCAACACAUCCAGAACCAGGCUCAUUGUUUCCCAACAGAAACACCACCACCAGUUGGCUGGCACCCCCUUCUCGGGGUCUGGGUGCCAUCUCC